GNAGUGGCGGGUGCUAUACACGCAGUCUNACGGAUUGAUGGGAGCUUGCUCCCUGAUAUCAGCGGCGGACGGGUGAGUAACACGUGGGUAACCUGCCUGUAAGACUGGGAUAACUCCGGGAAACCGGGGCUAAUACCGGAUAACUCAUUUCCUCGCAUGAGGAAAUGUUGAAAGGUGGCUUUUAGCUAUCACUUACAGAUGGACCCGCGGCGCAUUAGCUAGUUGGUGAGGUAACGGCUCACCAAGGCAACGAUGCGUAGCCGACCUGAGAGGGUGAUCGGCCACACUGGGACUGAGACACGGCCCAGACUCCUACGGGAGGCAGCAGUAGGGAAUCUUCCGCAAUGGACGAAAGUCUGACGGAGCAACGCCGCGUGAGUGAUGAAGGUUUUCGGAUCGUAAAGCUCUGUUGUUAGGGAAGAACAAGUGCCGUUCGAAUAGGGCGGCACCUUGACGGUACCUAACCAGAAAGCCACGGCUAACUACGUGCCAGCAGCCGCGGUAAUACGUAGGUGGCAAGCGUUGUCCGGAAUUAUUGGGCGUAAAGCGCGCGCAGGUGGUUCCUUAAGUCUGAUGUGAAAGCCCACGGCUCAACCGUGGAGGGUCAUUGGAACACUGGGGGACUUUGAGUGCCGAAGAGGACAGUGGACAUUCCAGUGUGCGGUGAAAUGCGUAGAUUUUGGAGGAACCCCAGUGGGCGAAGGCG
rnacentral:rRNA from 1 species